UUAAAAGCUAAGAAGAGAAGAAGUAACUAAUUGAAACUAGUUUAAGAGAGUGGGUGAUGGUGUAAUACCCAUACUAAGCCAUUGGUGAAUAACAUCUCGGAGCUUCCACUGGAAAUUUAUAUACUUUAAUUUAUAUAAAUAGUACAUCUGGACGGAACCAACCUGUUAGAAAUUGGACAGUAUCGAAUUUUAUUUUUAUUCUGUACUGAUUUUGAGUGAACUUAUUUAUGUUAACAUAGGUGGUACCGCGGAAGAUAUACCUUUCGUCCUAUAC
rnacentral:ncRNA from 1 species